UACAGAGGGUGCGAGCGUUAAUCGGAACCACUGGGCUUAAAGGGUGCGUAGGCGGAUGCGUAGGCGCUUUGUGAAAUCCCUCGGCUCAACCGAGGAAUUGCUUGGCGAACCACGCGUCUUGAGGUUGGUAGAGGUCGCUGGAACGAUAGGUGGAGCGGUGAAAUGCGUAGAUAUCUGUCGGAACGCCAAAGGUGAAGCCAGGCGACUGGGCCAUACCUGACGCUGAGGCACGAAAGCGUGGGGAGCAAACGGG
rnacentral:rRNA from 1 species